GAGUUUGAUCUUGGCUCAGAUUGAACGCUGGCGGCAUGCCUUACACAUGCAAGUCGAACGGCAGCACGGGAGCUUGCUCCUUGAUUCAGCGGCGGACGGGUGAGUAAUGCCUAGGAAUCUGCCUGGUAGUGGGGGGACAACGUUUCGAAAGGAACGCUAAUACCGCAUACGUCCUACGGGAGAAAGCAGGGGACCUUCGGGCCUUGCGCUAUCAGAUGAGCCUAGGUCGGAUUAGCUAGUUGGUGGGGUAAUGGCUCACCAAGGCGACGAUCCGUAACUGGUCUGAGAGGAUGAUCAGUCACACUGGAACUGAGACACGGUCCAGACUCCUACGGGAGGCAGCAGUGGGGAAUAUUGGACAAUGGGCGAAAGCCUGAUCCAGGCAUGCCGCGUGUGUGAAGAAGG
rnacentral:rRNA from 1 species